ACCAGCUCUUCACAAUUAUUAGACAGGUUGGACAUGGAAGGCAGUUGUUGCAUGUUUUGUCUACUGUUGGUAGUAUUGGAAAACCAAGAACAUCCCAAAUGUGUUGGUCGGUGCGCAUGGAUCCAAACGUCUUAUGCUUGUUCAAUGCUCUGACGCUGUUAUCUUCUGACCAGAAGCCCCUCUCUCUCUCUCUCUUUCUCCAACUAGAAAUGUAAUGGUCAUUGUGAUAAAAAGCUGGGAUGCACUUCAUAACAAAAGAAUUUUUCGAAUGAACCUUGAUUUUGUGAAAUCCAGCUGUGAAGUGGACUGCUGUUUUUACCUUUGGUUCUGCAAGCCAGGCACAUGGAUACGUUUGAACACGAGAUAAAAUCUGUUUUAUUGGGAAAAAGGUUUACAUUUGUCAUGGUACUUGGAACAAAAAAAUUGCAAGACACUCCUGUUUCUCAGUAGGUAAGCUGAAUUUGAAAAUGAAUGGAAAAACACACCUUCAAUUGUGUUUAUAUGCCCAGAACAAACAUAUUGUAAGCUCAAAACCACAUCAUUGCUGAAGAAUAAUAGCCUGAUACAGAAUAACUCACAUAGAAAAAGAUAUAAAACAUGAAUGCCAUAAACAGAGAAAUCAGUAAGCAGAUGCACUAGAGAGGAGGGGAAUGUUAAAAGACUAUGGAGAUUAUCAGUUUGCAUAUGGAGAAACAGGAAGUGAGAGCACCCUCAACCGGAGGGUUCAGUUGACAUAGUCCAGUCAGCAAGUGUUCGGUUUUCUCUUUCUUUCUGCUCUUUUGCUGCAUCUUUCCCCUCUCCCUCCCCCUCCCCCUCCCCCUCCCCCUCCCCCCCUUUUCUUUCUAUUUGUUUUACCGCUCAUAGUUUCUACUUUAGCCUUUCCUCUAUUCUUCUCCCUUGCCAGUCCAUAUCUCUCUCUCCUUUAUCGCAACCCAUCCCUUUUCUCUCCUGCUCUUUUCCUUCUUUUUCCACUCUUUUUUCCUUUUAUAUUCCAAUCUUUCCUUCCUCGUCACGCCUCUUCGUUGUACUCUAGUCUCGUUAUACAGCUUCUAUUGAUAAAAGUUCACUUUUCAAGAAAAGAAAAGGUGUUAAGAUGCAUCAGAUAUAGUUCUUUGAAUGCAUCACAUGGAAGCCUAUUCAAUUGGAACAAUAAAAUUUGGUUAAUGCAGAAAAGAUUUGUCAUGAAAUCCCAUUACGAUAUAAAUCACUCCAAAUAAUGAUACAAGCAGCUGAUAUUGGAGGCAUUUCAAACAUUCG
rnacentral:lncRNA from 1 species